GGACGUGUCCACGCGCGGAACAAACUCGGAACGGCUCGUGAAGCAGAUUGUUGGUGAAAUGUGCACGAGUCGACCAAUAAAACCAAAUUCCUAAUACAGAUUCACCAGGAUGACUCCAGACAACUAUUAACGUCUCAUUUUAAAGCUUUAAUGGGAAUCAUGGAAGCAGUUUCUCAUUAAACCAAGCCAACCUUCUGCCACAAUGGAUAUAUAUAACGACACGUGCCACUUAAAGAAGACCCUU